UACAGAGGGCGCAAGCGUUAAUCGGAAUCAUUGGGCGUAAAGAGCUCGUAGGCGGUUCAGCAAGUCGGCUGUAAAAGUCCGAGGCUCAACCUCGGAAUUGCAGUCGAUACUGCUGUGAUUCGAGUCCGGUAGAGGAGAAUGGAAUUCUCGGUGUAGCGGUGAAAUGCGCAGAUAUCGAGAGGAACACCAGUAGCGAAGGCGGUUCUCUGGGCCGGCACUGACGCUGAGGAGCGAAAGCGUGGGGAGCAAACAGG
rnacentral:misc_RNA from 1 species